UAAACACAAAAUAAUAAAAAACAGAAAACUCUGCUAUCGUUUAGUGGCGCCAUAAUUCUAAGGUGAUGAUUAAAAAUACUAUAAUAAAAUAAAUAGAUAGAUUCAU